GAACUGUGCGAACGUUAUUCGGAAUCACUGGGCUUAAAGGGUGCGUAGGCGGUUAUCUAAGUCAGGUGUGAAAUCUCUCGGCUCAACCGGGAAACUGCGCUUGAAACUGGGUGACUGGAGGGAUGCAGGGGUGUGUGGAACUUCCGGUGGAGCGGUGAAAUGUGUAGAUAUCGGAAGGAACGCCAGCAGCGAAAGCGGCACACUGGGCAUUUACUGACGCUGAGGCACGAAAGCUAGGGGAGUGAACGGGAUUAGAUACCCCGGUAAUCCUAGCCGUAAACACUGAGCACUGGAGGAGGGAGGCUUCGGCCUUCUUUCUCGUAGCGAAAGCGUUAAGUGCUCCGCCUGGGGAGUAUGGUCGCAAGGCUG
rnacentral:rRNA from 1 species